rnacentral:lncRNA from 13 species
GGUCUGAGCUUCCUGGGGAUGACUCCCUUCAAGGGGGUCUGGCUUCUGUGUGGGGCUGUGCCCGCAGACCUUCAGGACUGAUUUCGCAUUGGCCAUUCUGGGAAAUUUUUUAGCUGAUAUGAAAGCAAGCAGGGGGAAGGGACUGAAACAGAUGGACCCGCCCUCCAUCUAGGACUCUCCUGUGUCCUGGCCUCCUGAGGUUACCUAGACUGGGGGGGGCUCUCCAGGGACUGUCACCCCAUAGACCCAGAACAGCCCUGGGUGGUCACUCUCAGGCCCACUGCUGUUGAGUGUAGUGGAAUGGUGGUGAAAGGAAGAGAUUUGGGGCUCAGUAGGGUCUGGGUCCCAGUCCUGGCCCUGUGUGAACCCCACAUAGGCGGCCACCUCCUCCUCUGAACCUGAGUCUUGUGUCUGCAAAAUAGAGUUGGUUACAGGGCUGAGAGGAAUGGAGGAGGUGAUGUGUUUAGUGUCUGAUCCCCACCCAGGAAGGGCUCAGGAAAUGAUGAUGAGGUGUUAUUAUUGAUGCUCUUGGUGUCCGAUGGAGAAGUUCCUGAUGUGCCACUAUGUCUUGAACCGGGGACAAGGCCAGAUACUUCAGUGUUCAUAGCAUAGCCCUAAUGCCAAGGCUUUCUCACCUGGCAUGACUGGUUCUUCUUUGUGAUGAGCUGUCCUGUGCAUUAUAGGGUGUUCCACAGGAUCGCUGGCUUCUACCCACUGGAUGCCAGAACACCUCCUCACAGUUGCAGCAACCAAAAGUGUCCCCAGCCAUUGCCACAUGCUCCAUGGGGGAGGGAGGCAUAAUGGCUCCAUCUGAGAACCACUGCCUCAUGCAGAUGAAUGAGACUGGUCUCAAACUCCUGACAUUGCUUUAUUCUACCUGGCAGACAGUAUUUGCUGACCUCCUGUGCCAGGUCUCUGGGUGUGCAAUGAAAGACGGCCUUGCAGCCAGAGAAGCUGGGGUUUGCAUCCUGGCUGUCCCAUGUAGCCACUCGUGUCCUUUCAGGUCUGUGAUAUCAGCUAUUUCCCAGCAGGCUGAGGGAGUGACACACUGAUCAGCUGGCAGCCAGGAAGAAAAGGGAGAGCCUGGGGGUUGGUCCCCUGCUGGCCUCUGUGCAGCUGACUCUUCAGGAAGCCCCCAGCCCCUGACUGAGCUGGCUGGGCCCCUUGGGUGAAGCAGGGCCCCAGCCAGGAGGGUUGUCCCCACCUCCUCCAGGCUGGGCCCGUUGCGGGCACAAGGUGGAGGAUUGUUCCCACAGAGGUGCUUGGGCCAGAAAACAGAAGUGGCCACUGUGUGUCUGCUCUCAAGGGUGUGGGCUGAGCCGUUAGUCACUGCCAGCCAGCAGUGGAAGACUGGGCCAGGGCUCCCUGCAUCCAGUGAUGGAACUCGGCCUUGCCUUGGCCAGUGGGAGAGACAGACGUCAGAGGUCACAGGCAGCCGCUUGCUCUUGAUGCUGUUUCUUGCCUGCCAGCUCCUACUUGUGCCUCACAUACUUGGACCACCCUUGCCAAGACUCACCAACUCCCUAAGAUGGCCCUUGUCAGAGCAUGGGAGAGAGCUGGACAUCAUUUUGCCAUCCAUACUCCCGCUAUAUAGAGGCCCAGACGGGACUUUUGCAGAAUAUACUGGCAUCUCUGGCAAGCAAUCAGGUACAUGGAAUUUAAACCCACAUUGGCCAGAAUUCAACUCCUAAUCCUAUGAACCUACUGUGUGACCUUGGG